rnacentral:tRNA from 1 species
AGCAAAGUGGUGCAGUGGAAGCGUGAUGGGCUCGUAACCCAUAGGUCACAGGAUUGAAACCUGUCUUUGCUA